rnacentral:tRNA from 1 species
AUAUAGAUUGAAAAAAUUAAUUUUGUAAAUUAAAAUAAAACCAAUCA